rnacentral:lncRNA from 1 species
CUUGGUUUAUAUUUAAUUAUAAUUUGCUGUGAAAUUAGUAGCAUUAGCAGCUACCGAUCGAGGCCAGUUCGGGCACUUUGGUGGACCUCUAGGAUUGCAGGGAGCACCAUCGGACAUGACGCAAACACAUGAACCAAAUGGAAAUCCUUCACCACCGGGGUCACAGUAGGAGGUGACACGCCCAACAUUCCGGUAACAAGGACUGCAUGUCAAGUUGC